GACGAACGCUGGCGGCGUGCCUAAUACAUGCAAGUCGAGCGCAGGAAGCCGUCUGAACCCUUCGGGGGGACGACAGUGGAAUGAGCGGCGGACGGGUGAGUAACACGUACAGAACCUGCCCAUAGGUCUGGGAUAACCACGAGAAAUCGGGGCUCAUACCGGAUGUGUCACCGGACCGCAUGGUCCGAUGAUGAAAGGCGCUUCGGCGUCGCCCAUGGAUGGCUUUGUGGUGCAUUAGCUAGUUGGUGGGGUAACGGCCCACCAAGGCGACGAUGCAUAGCCGACCUGAGAGGGUGAUCGGCCACACUGGGACUGAGACACGGCCCAGACUCCUACGGGAGGCAGCAGUAGGGAAUCUUCCACAAUGGACGAAAGUCUGAUGGAGCAACGCCGCGUGAACGAUGAAGGCUUUCGGGUCGUAAAGUUCUGUUGUAAGGGAAGAACAAGUGCCGCAGGCAAUGGCGGCACCUUGACGGUACCUUGCGAGAAAGCCACGGCUAACUACGUGCCAGCCGCCGCCGUAACAC
rnacentral:rRNA from 1 species